CAUUCUUAGAAUUGUUCCCCCUCAGAGCCCUCAGGGGUCACGGUCAGGCCCCUCCGCACUUGGUUGAGCAGCAGAGCCCAGUCAAGGCAGGUGUUGGGCUGUGGGCCAUGCUGAUCUUGACUGGUCCCCUCUGCUUCCAGGGAGUCAAGCUCAGCAGGCAUCCUCUGGAGUGGAUAGAGCCCUGGGUCUCUGCUGCAAGUUAGCAUCUCAGCGCAGCCCAGCCAACAUGUGCAGUUCCCUGCACAGUGACAGCAAACAGAGGAGGCACUGGGGAUAAAGGAUGGAGAAGAUCCAGGCCAUUCCUUUGAGAGGAACAA
ensembl:lncRNA